GAUCCUGGCUCAGGAUGAACGCUAGCGACAGGCUUAACACAUGCAAGUCGAGGGGCAGCGAGGGAGUGGCAACACUUCCGUCGGCGACCGGCGCACGGGUGAGUAACGCGUAUGCAACCUGCCCUUCACAGGGGGAUAACCGGGAGAAAUUCCGACUAAUACCGCAUACGUCCUCCGGGGGCAUCCCCGGGGGAUGAAAGAAUUAUCGGUGAAGGAUGGGCAUGCGUGAUAUUAGGUAGUUGGCGGGGCAAACCGG
rnacentral:rRNA from 1 species